rnacentral:lncRNA from 1 species
GGGUUUGGGCUCCAGCCCCAGCCGGGCCCCCUCGCGCCGCUGCGGCUGCUGCGCGGUGAGGUCGUGACAAGUCACAGCUAACUUGCCCUCCGCGCCAUUCCACGCCACCAGGAAGCGCAGCCGGUGCCUCUCGGCAUCGGCGAAGAGGCCUUGCCGGACCGGCGCCCAGCCCUCCAGGCUGUCGAGCUGCUCGUCCUCCAUGGCCGUCGGCGGCAGCGGCCCUAGGACUCGGCGGGCGCGGGCCUGACCUCGUCGCACUGCCUGUCAGGGGACAGUCCCAGGCUGGAGUGCAAUGGCAUGAUCUCGGCUCACUGCGACCUCUGCCUCUUGGGUUCAAGCGAUUUUCUUGCCUCAGCCUUCGCAGUAGCUGGGAUUACAGGCAUAACUGAAGGUGAAAGGACAGAAUCACCGUGUGUUACUGGCACAGAUGCAUCGGCUAGUGAAGAAAGAAGACAUUCAAACUAGUCCCGCUCUGUCGCCCAGUCUGGAGUGCAGCAGCGCCAUCAUAGCUCACUGCCACCUAGAAGCCGGGGUGAAGCAAUCCUCCUCCAUCAGCCUUCAGAGUAGCUGGGACUACCUGCGCGGCCCACCACAGCCGGCUAAUCUUUGUGGUUUUUCUUUUGUUUUCCGUUCUGGGUUUCCGUCGGGCGCAGUGGCUCAGGCCUGCAAUCCCAGCACUUUGGAAGGCAGAGGUGGGCGGAUCACCCGAGGUCGGAGACCAGCCUGACCAACAUGAAGAAAUCCCGUCUCUACUAAAAAAAAGAAAAAAACUACAAAAUUAGCCGGA